ACGAACGCUGGCGGCGUGCUUAACACAUGCAAGUCGAACGGAAAGGCCCUGCUUUUGUGGGGUGCUCGAGUGGCGAACGGGUGAGUAGCACGUGAGUAACCUGCCCUUGACUUUGGGAUAACUUCAGGAAACUGGGGCUAAUACCGGAUAGGAGCUCCUGCUGCAUGGUGGGGGUUGGAAAGUUUCGGCGGUUGGGGAUGGACUCGCGGCUUAUCAGCUUGUUGGUGGGGUAGUGGCUUACCAAGGCUUUGACGGGUAGCCGGCCUGAGAGGGUGACCGGCCACAUUGGGACUGAGAUACGGCCCAGACUCCUACGGGAGGCAGCAGUGGGGAAUAUUGCACAAUGGGCGGAAGCCUGAUGCAGCAACGCCGCGUGCGGGAUGACGGCCUUCGGGUUGUAAACCGCUUUCGCCUGUGACGAAGCGUGAGUGACGGUAAUGGGUAAAGAAGCACCGGCGAACUACGU
rnacentral:rRNA from 1 species